rnacentral:miRNA from 1 species
GCAGACACAUUCCAGCCAAUCAGCAGCAGACUCUCCCUCCCAGAUCCUCCCACCUCCUGGACAGCUCACUAAGAAUGCAGCUUCACAAUGAAUGUAAAAUGGAUGCUGUCCAGGAGGUGGGAGGGUCUGGGAGGGAGGGUCUGCUGCUGAUUGGCUGGAAUGUGUCUG